AAGCCCUGGAAACGGGGUCUAAUACCGGAUAUUGACCUUCACGGGCAUCUGUGAGGUUCGAAAGCUCCGGCGGUGCAGGAUGAGCCCGCGGCCUAUCAGCUUGUUGGUGAGGUAAUGGCUCACCAAGGCGACGACGGGUAGCCGGCCUGAGAGGGCGACCGGCCACACUGGGACUGAGACACGGCCCAGACUCCUACGGGAGGCAGCAGUGGGGAAUAUUGCACAAUGGGCGAAAGCCUGAUGCAGCGACGCCGCGUGAGGGAUGACGGCCUUCGGGUUGUAAACCUCUUUCAGCAGGGAAGAAGCGAAAGUGACGGUACCUGCAGAAGAAGCGCCGGCUAACUACGUGCCAGCAGCCGCGGUAAUACGUAGGGCGCAAGCGUUGUCCGGAAUUAUUGGGCGUAAAGAGCUCGUAGGCGGCUUGUCACGUCGGUUGUGAAAGCCCGGGGCUUAACCCCGGGUCUGCAGUCGAUACGGGCAGGCUAGAGUUCGGUAGGGGAGAUCGGAAUUCCUGGUGUAGCGGUGAAAUGCGCAGAUAUCAGGAGGAACACCGGUGGCGAAGGCGGAUCUCUGGGCCGAUACUGACGCUGAGGAGCGAAAGCGUGGGGAGCGAACAGGAUUAGAUACCCUGGUAGUCCACGCCGUAAACGGUGGGCACUAGGUGUGGGCAACAUUCCACGUUGUCCGUGCCGCAGCUAACGCAUUAAGUGCCCCGCCUGGGGAGUACGGCCGCAAGGCUAAAACUCAAAGGA
rnacentral:rRNA from 1 species